rnacentral:sRNA from 1 species
CUUAGGUUGAUGGCAGCGGCAGCUGGGGCUGCAGCGGCGCCGGGCCCUGGAGAGCCGCAGGCAGCGGCUGGAGUGCGGAGCUGGACACCCGGGUCCCAGAUACUACAGACACCCGGAGAGGCGGCUCCUUCGCCCUGACGCCUUCCUCGGCCCCCUACGCACUCGGGCCCCCUCCGCAGAGGAUUCGCAGCUUGAGCGCCCCGCAGCCCGCUCAGGACCAGGGCGACAGCAGCAUUCGGUACUUUGAGAUUACCGACGAGCCGCCUUUCGUGCACUACCUGAACACGUUCAGCAGCAAAGAGCCGCAGCGGGGCAUGGGUUUCAUGCCCAAAAGGGGACUGGAUGUCAGCAAGUGUGAGAUCGCCCGGUUCUACAAGUUACACGAAAGAAAGUGUGAACCUAUCAUCAUGACUGUGCCCCGCAAGUCAGACCUGUUCCAGGACGAUCUGUACCCGGAUACGCCGGGCCCGGAGCCGGCCCUAGAAGCGGACGA